AUGAGACAUUUUGGUCUUAUGGCAAAUCUUCGGGGAUAUAUGUCAGGAGGAAAGGAAUGGAUUCUUGAUAGUGGAUGUACCGAUCACAUGACCAGAGAUAAAGACAUGUUUCAUGAGCUUGCUGAUAAUGAUAGUCCUCGAAAGUAUGUCACUUUCGGUGACAACUCAAAGGGUAAGGUGGUUGGCCUCGGUAAGGUGGCCAUAUCACAUGAUAGCUCCAUACAAAAUGUCAUGCUCGUUGAAUCUCUUGGGUACAACUUACUUUCAGUAUCUGGACUUGUUGAUUUCGGUUUCAAUGUCCUAUUUACUGAAGUAGAUUGCCAAGUGUUUCAUCGAGACAAUCAUAAAAUGGUCUUUACCGAUGUGCGUAGAGGUGAUCUAUACAUUGUUGAUUUCACUAAAAAGGCUCAACCUAAAACUUGCUUCAUUGCUAAAUCCUCAAAAGGUUGGUUAUGGCAUAGACGAUUAGGUCACGUUGGUAUGCGGAACCUUGACAAGCUUAUUAAGGAAAAUCAUAUCCUUGGAGUUAAUGAUGUCAUAUUUGAUAAGGAUAGACUUUGCAGUGCUUGUCAAGCAGGUAAACAGGUUGGAGGAAGGCAUCCCGUGAAGAACAUCAUGACCACAAAGAGGCCACUCGAGCUACUUCACAUGGAUCUCUUUGGUCCCAACUCUUACAAGAGUCUCGGUGGAAAUUCUUUUGGUCUAGUUAUAGCUGAUGAUUUUUCAAGAUUUACGUGGGUGUUCUUUCUCGAUGAUAAAUCACAGGUCCAAAAGAUCUUCAAAAACUUCGCUAGGAAGGCCCAAAAUCAAUUUGAAGUGAAGAUCAAGAAGGUUCGCAGCAACAACGGAACGGAGUUCAAGAACGCAAAUGUGGACACCUUUCUUGACGAAGAAGGGAUUUCACACGAGUUCUCGGCUACGUACACACCUCGACAAAAUGGAGUUGUUGAGAGGAAAAACCGGACGCUCAUUGAAAUGGCGAGAACGAUGCUUGAUGAGUACAAGACGCCGAAGCACUUUUGGGUAGAAGCGGUUGAGACAGCUUGUCAUGCAACAAAUCGCUUGUAUCUUCACAAGCUACUCGGCAAGACGGCAUACGAGCUCCUCACCGGUAACAAACCCCAAGUUGGAUACUUUUGA
rnacentral:rRNA from 1 species